GACCCUUAGUCAACGGACUACACAUAAUGGCUGAAGACAGCCAGAACGUGAAAUGGGAGGAUCAUCCGGAUGACCAAAAUAAAGUUGUGGAGAAUAUGAAGGAGGAAACAGAGACACAUGAGACCAACAAGAACAGGACAGGAGGCAAGGCUAAACGUAAGUCCAGUGGCCGUGCCAAGAAGACUUCCGUGGAGGAGGACAGCAGCAUUGGUGCAG